rnacentral:misc_RNA from 1 species
GGGAUUUAACAGAUAUGAAGGUAAGGAAAGGGACAUGAUGCACCAACACCAUGGGUCUUGUUCAAAGCUUAAAAUAAAUAUCAAAAAACAGAGCUUCCAUGCAUUUCACCAAAUACCCAUCCCUAAUAAAGCAAACAGCUUUGUUUCCAUGGAAAAUCCACCAAUGCAAUUCAAAUACACAAACUGAAAGAAAACCCAUACAUAUUGGAGGAAGAAAAUGUAACUAGAGAGAAGAGGAGAGGCAAAUAUUGGCAGUCGGCUG